rnacentral:rRNA from 1 species
UACGGAGGAUGCAAGCGUUAUCCGGAUUCAUUGGGUUUAAAGGGUGCGCAGGCGGAAUGAUAAGUCAGUGGUGAAAUCCUACAGCUUAACUGUAGAACUGCCAUUGAUACUGUUGUUCUUGAGUACAGUUGGAGUGGGCGGAAUGUGUCAUGUAGCGGUGAAAUGCUUAGAUAUGACACAGAACACCGGUCGCGAAGGCAGCUCGCUAAACUGUAACUGACGCUCAGGCACGAAAGCGUGGGGAU